GUUGUAUGGUUAAGUGACUAAGCGUACACGGUGGAUGCCUUGGCAGUCAGAGGCGAUGAAGGACGUAGUAACUUGCGAUAAGCGUAGAUGAGGCAGUAACAGCCACUUGAGUCUACGAUUUCCGAAUGGGGAAACCCACUGGCAUAAGCCAGUAUCAUUGAGUGAAUACAUAGCUCAAUGAAGCGAACCGGGAGAACUGAAACAUCUAAGUACCCCGAGGAAAAGAAAUCAACCGAGAUUCCGAAAGUAGCGGCGAGCGAAAUUGGAUUAGCCCUUAAGCUUUACAUGUGUUAGACGAACGGUCUGGAAAGUCCGACGAUAC
rnacentral:rRNA from 1 species